UACGUAGGGUGCAAGCGUUGUCCGGAAUUAUUGGGCGUAAAGAGCUCGUAGGCGGUCUGUUGCGUCGGCUGUGAAAACCCGGGGCUCAACUCCGGGCCUGCAGCCGAUACGGGCAGACUAGAGUUCGGCAGGGGAGACUGGAAUUCCUGGUGUAGCGGUGAAAUGCGCAGAUAUCAGGAGGAACACCGGUGGCGAAGGCGGGUCUCUGGGUAGUAACUGACGCUGAGGAACGAAAGCGUGGGUAGCGAACAGG
rnacentral:rRNA from 1 species